AUUGAGCGCUGGCGGCAUGCCUUACACAUGCAAGUCGAACGGCAGCACGGAGCUUGCUCUGGUGGCGAGUGGCGAACGGGUGAGUAAUAUAUCGGAACGUACCCAAGAGUGGGGGAUAACGUAGCGAAAGUUACGCUAAUACCGCAUACGAUCUAAGGAUGAAAGUGGGGGCUCGCAAGACCUCAUGCUCCUGGAGCGGCCGAUAUCUGAUUAGCUAGUUGGUGAGGUAAAGGCUCACCAAAGCAUCGAUCAGUAGCUGGUCUGAGAGGACGACCAGCCACACUGGAACUGAGACACGGUCCAGACUCCUACGGGAGGCAGCAGUGGGGAAUUUUGGACAAUGGGGGCAACCCUGAUCCAGCAAUGCCGCGUGAGUGAAGAAGGCCUUCGGGUUGUAAAGCUCUUUUGUCAGGGAAGAAACGGUGAAGGCUAAUAUCCUUUGCUAAUGACGGUACCUGAAGAAUAAGCACCGGCUAACUACGUGCCAGCCGCCGCUGUAAGAC
rnacentral:rRNA from 1 species